CGUGAUCGUCGUAGGGAGCGGUAAUGGUGCGGAGCUGCGGGGGCCCCUUCCGCUCCGACGGGCCGGGCCGGGCUGGGCUGAGGCGAGGCGGCAGUGCCGCCGGCCGCCAUCACCAGAUGAAGAUUCUUCAUUAGAAGACAUGCACAUCAUAUGGGGCUGUACUCAUCAUCUGAAGUCAAGCAAAGAGGAAUGCCAGAAAGACUAAAGUACUAGAAUAGUUCAUAUGAAGGAGCCUUCCUGAACAAAAUGGAUUCUGGCUCUGGCACUCUGACUGUCAGUGCCAAAAUCGUGUGAAGCUGCAGCAUGUCCAGGAACAAGGCAAGUG